GUGGGGAAUCUUGCGCAAUGGGCGAAAGCCUGACGCAGCAACGCCGCGUGAGGGAAGACGGCUCUCGGGUUGUAAACCUCUUUCAGCAGGGACGAAAUUGACGGUACCUGCAGAAGAAGCGCCGGCCAACUACGUGCCAGCAGCCGCGGUAACACGUAGGGCGCAAGCGUUGUCCGGAUUUAUUGGGCGUAAAGAGCUCGUAGGCGGUUUCGUAAGUCGGGUGUGAAAACUCAGGGCUCAACCCUGAGACGCCACUCGAUACUGCGAUGACUAGAGUCCGGUAGAGGAGCAUGGAAUUCCUGGUGUAGCGGUGAAAUGCGCAGAUAUCAGGAGGAACACCAGCAGCGAAGGCGGUGCUCUGGGCCGGUACUGACGCUGAGGAGCGAAAGCGUGGGGAGCAAACAGG
rnacentral:rRNA from 1 species